GAAGAGGGCCGAGUCCGACUCAAGACAGAGACCAGAAGAGGGCUGAGUCCGACUCAAGACAGAGACCAGAAGAAGGCUGAAUCCUAGUCAAGACAGCGACCAGAAGAGGGCUGAAUCCUAGUCAAGACAGCGACCAGAAGAGGGCAGAGUCUGAGUGAAGACAGCGACCAGAAGAGGGCAGAGUCUGAGUCAGGACAGAAACCAGAAGAGGAUUGAGUCUGGGUCAAGACAGAGACCAGAAGAGAGUCACAUCUGGGUCAAAGCAAACACCACAACAGGGCAGUGUCUGAAUCAAUAACGAGACCAGAAGAGGGCCGAGUCUGAGUCAAGACAGAGACCAGAAGAGGGCCGAGUCCGACUCAAGACAGAGACCAGAAGAGGGCCGAGUCCGACUAAAGACAGAGACCAGAAGAGGGCCGAGUCCGACUAAAGACAGAGACCAGAAGAGGGCCGAGUCCGACUCAAAACAGAGACCAGAAGAGGGCGGAGUCCGACUCAAAACAGAGACCAGAAGACGGCCGAACUUGGACUCGUGUACUACAACAGCAUUUUGGUCAUUUUUGGGUGAGCUGUAUCUUUAAUAGCUAUAAGCAACAAAUAGCACAACAGAAUUUCACAGUUCAGUCUUGUUUGAGGAUGUGGAAUUGUUUAGUGUGUAUGAAACGUCUAAUACAGUGCCAGUUCCUGUCUGUUGUUUACAAUAGUCAAAAGGUCACUUCGGUUUUUGUUUUUGCUGUUGUUUAUUCCUGUAGUUCAGUUUGAAGAAUACAGAUGAUUAGAUGGAGUUUUAGGGUUCUUUAUUUUCCAAAAUUCUCGUUUUCCCUUAUUUUAUUACAAAACAUUGCUAACUUCCAUGAAGUUGUUGGGAUAUUUUGUAUCAGUUUUUAAUAGUUUGGUCAGCAUUUUGAAAGUACAAUCAACCCUACAGUAUCUACAAACCAUCACAUGUUUUUGAGGAUUAUUUCCUACUUGAUUAAGAGUAAAUAGAGGAAAAAUAAUCACAAUAACUUCAAAACAGCAGAUGUUUUAAUGUAGUUUUGUGCACUGUAGUGUUCCUCAAAGGAGAUGAAAACUGUGUAACAGCGUAUAGAAAGCUCUCCUAUUUAAAAUAGCAUUUAAGUAUUUCAUUUAUGACAGGAUUGUUUUUUUGUUUAAUAUUUUUCUCCGGUCACUGAUUUGUCUUUUGUUAAAUGUGUUGCCUGGACCAGUUAUGUUUGUGUAUAUUUGAAUGUGCAUAUUGUCUUAAGCCUGAACAAAAUAUGAAUAUGAAUGCAUUAUCACUUAAGACUGUUAAUCACGGUUUUACUUAUGUGGUAUUAGUGCUUUUCCACUGAAAGGAGAAAUGUAAAGUGAAUAUUCCUGGUCUAGGCUCAAAUGCUGUCUCAUUAAAUCUCAUUUUGCCUCCUGCAGUCAAAGUGUUUUUCAACAGGCAAUGCUACAGCUGCACCUUCCAGUUUUUUUGAACGAUAUACAGUAAUUUGUUGAUUUUUUAAUGGAUGAGUCCUAGUGUGUAUAAGCAUAACAUCUUGUUGAUUUAGUGUACAUGUAAAGAAUUUUGCCUUUAAUUUUGGUUUAUAUUCUAUUUGUUCGAUAUGAGAGUUUUAAAAAUGGCGCUGGGUUGGUAACAAUACAAGUUUCCUUUUUAAUUUUCUCACUAGCUAUCAAAUGGCCUUUUUCCUUUUUUUAUCACCCAUUGCGAUGCAGCAAAGCCUUAUUAGUACAUGUUCAACUCGUUUAUCUGCCCAGCUCAGCCCUGUAUCAUGCAUGCUGCCUUUGGCAAAGAGGUUCUUUGGCAAAGGAAGCAUGAUUGUGUAGUUGUGUCACACAACACCCCAGUGCUGUGAGUGUCCUGCACUGUAUCUUGCAUUUUACUCACCUCCUAUAGCACUUACUUUCUGCUCUUAUGGAUUAAUAUCAGGAUUAUGAUUGUUAUUGUUUUAUAUCCAUAGUUCUGUAGUUUUCUUUCCUUUGGAAAUGUCAGUUUUGUUUGCAUUUAAAUUUUAAAAAUUUGCUUAGCUGUAAUAAUGGGGCAGGACGUGUUUGGUUGUGAUGAUGCUUGUUUUUGUCCUGUAUGCAACUGCAAAAACGAACUGAUGUGUUGGAUACUUUUACGUCUGUAUUAGACAUUUUAUUUGCAAAUCUAUUGUUCGAUUCAAUUGUAAAUGAAUAGAAGAUGGGCAUCCGUCAUUUUAUAUAACCAGAGCCAUCAUUAGAUGGACAUACUGCACAUUUUUAUGAUAUAUAAUCAGAUAUAUGAGGCUAUUUAUGGUCACAGAGAGAAAGAUUCUAAAAGUCAGGAAUAUCUUUUGAUGAAAUAAUAGUAGAAAUUAUUUAUAUUGCAUUUGUUUCUUUUUAAAUACCACCGGGCAAAGUUUUCCCUUUUGCUUGUGGCAAUGCAAGAAUGAAUAUAUAGAAAUGUAGCCAACGCACAGUCAAUUCUUACAGUUUUUUUGUUUGUUAUUGCUCUUGUAUCUUGGCUAUGCUUGGCUCUGAUAUGUAGGGCAAGCUGGUGAGAUGAGUCUAAAGGUCAUGACAUGUAGUUGCAUGCCAAGAUAAUAAACAGUUACAUCGUUA